rnacentral:rRNA from 1 species
UGGGGAAUUUUGGACAAUGGGGGAAACCCUGAUCCAGCCAUCCCGCGUGUGCGAUGAAGGCCUUCGGGUUGUAAAGCACUUUUGGCAGGAAAGAAACGUCAUGGGUUAAUACCCCGUGAAACUGACGGUACCUGCAGAAUAAUCACCGGCUAACUACGUGCCAGCAGCCGCGGUAAUACGUAGGGUGCAAGCGUUAAUCGGAAUUAAUGGGCGUAAAGCGUGCGCAGGCGGUUCGGAAAGAAAUAUGUGAAAUCCCAGAGCUCAACUUUGGAACUGCAUUUUGAACUACCGGGCUAGAGUGUGUCAGAGGGAGGUGGAAUUCCGCGUGUAGCAGUGAAAUGCGUAGAUAUGCGGAGGAACACCGAUGGCGAAGGCAGCCUCCUGGGAUAACACUGACGCUCAUGCACGAAAGCGUGGGGAGCAAACAGG